CACCUUUUUGUCCUGUUCCGGCUUCCACAGAUUGGACGAGGCCCACCCACCUUGGGGAGGGGCCAGCUGCUGUGUUCAGUCCGCCAUUGCAAACACGAAGCUCUUCCAGAAACGCCCUCACAGACACCCCGGAAGUCACGUACCCACUCUGUAGGUGCCCCGGGGCACAGGCAAGCGGACGAGCCAGUUAUCCCUCAGAGCUCCUGCUGCCUCGCCCGCUUUCUCUCGGAAACGUGAAGUGUGGCCUCAGCUGAAAGUGAGGUGGGCCUCAUUCAAUCAGUUGAAUUCUUCAAGAGAGAAAAACUGAAGUCCCUUAGAAGGAAAGAGUUCUGCCUUCAGACUGUCUUUGAACUUAAGACUGUAGCGUCGACUCCUGCCGGAAUUUCCAGCCUGCUGGCCAGCUCUGCAGAUUCACACUUGCCAGCCUCCACAAUCGCAGCUGAGGCGGAGGAACCCUAAGGGCUCAUUGAGAUCAUGGAUUUGCCCUUCUAUGCAUUGAUGGAGCACCUGCUGCCCACAGCGUCUGUAUUUGGUGCUGGGAUGCUGAGGACACUGAGAUCUUCAAACAGAGGCUGCCACUCUAAGCAAACAGAUCCCGAGCCCUGGACUCUGAAGCUUGGGCCCAGUUCUCCUUUUCUCCGGGUUUCAGAUCCCACUGUGAAGUGAGGGGGCCCUUCUGAUUCAGGACCCGGGGAAGCCAGGGGCAUGAGCAUCGGUGCCUCUUCUCUAUUUCAAGGACCCUUCUGGGUGUAAAGUUCUCUGAGAUGCCUUACAUGGAUUCCCACCACUGCAAGAUAACCAUCGUAUGUAAAGUGUUAUGACCAGCAGAGCGUAAUUGAAGUGCAUUCCAGAGGGAAAGACAGCGGCUCAGCUUUUUAUGCUCUCUUCAUGCCCCCUCAUGGAAGCUUCGCACACACUCUUGGUUCUGUCGCAUGGUUCCCUU
rnacentral:lncRNA from 10 species